rnacentral:sRNA from 1 species
AACACGACCGUCGAACACGUGACAGAAUGCUGCCGCGGAGGCGCUUGCCGCCUCCUCGGCCCCACCGGCCUCCUCCCUCUCGCCCUUCGGGGCGCGUUGGUUGCUGGUCGGAAUACGGCGCGGGAUGACGCCAAGGAACACGGUAAAGCUGAGGCACCGGCGAGCCGCUCAAGGUCUCCGUCGGUUGCCAAGGCCAACAAAAAAAAAUAUGACUCUCGGCAACGGAUAUCUCGGCUCUCGCAUCGAUGAAGAACGUAGCGAAAUGCGAUACGUGGUGUGAAUUGCAGAAUCCCGUGAACCAUCGAGUCUUUGAACGCAAGUUGCGCCCGAGGGACCCUCCCGAGGGCACGCCUGCCUCAUGGGCGUUAGAAGCCCAUCCACGCUCUGUUGCCUGACCAACGGCAAAGAUGCGGACAUUGGCCCUCCGAGCCGCGAGGCGCGGUGGGCCUAAGUGUGCGGCCGUCGUACGUGGCCGGGAGCGGCGAGUGGUGGGCUACUGCGCACGUCACCCCGAGUCCCGUACUGACGCAGGGCCUUGUAUGACCCCCUAACGAGGAGCAYGCUGYCGCGGCUUGCGCUGCGCGGCGCCUUCGGACCGAUACCCCAGGUCAGGCGG